GACGAACCGAGCGAACGUUGUUCGGAAUCACUGGGCUUAAAGGGCGCGUAGGCGGAUUCUCAAGUCCGGGGUGAAAUCCCACAGCUCAACUGUGGAACUGCCUCGGAUACUGGGGGUCUCGAGGGCGGCAGGGGUAUGCGGAACUAUCGGUGGAGCGGUGAAAUGCGUUGAUAUCGAUAGGAACUCCGGUGGCGAAGGCGGCAUACUGGUCCACUUCUGACGCUGAGGCGCGAAAGCCAGGGGAGCAAACGGG
rnacentral:rRNA from 1 species